rnacentral:rRNA from 1 species
AGCGGCGGACGGGUGAGUAACGCGUGGGUAACCUGCCUCAUACAGGGGAUAACAGUUAGAAAUGACUGCUAAUACCGCAUAAGACCACAGCACCGCAUGGUGCGGGGUAAAAACUCCGGUGGUAUGAGAUGGACCCGCGUCUGAUUAGCUAGUUGGUAAGGUAACGGCUUACCAAGGCGACGAUCGGUAGCCGACCUGAGAGGGUGACCGGCCACAUUGGGACUGAGACACGGCCCAA